GUGGUACUAAAGACGGAGAGCGGUAGGUAGGUGGUGUGAUAAUGAUUUCCAAGGAUGGGAUAUAUAUUCAAUGGGUAGACUUCAAUUUCCCCGAUGAGAAAACAAUGUUGUCUUUUCAACUUGGAAUAUUGCAUUCAUCUGCAGUAGUUUAUAUAAAUGAGUGUUAGAAAUUUGAAACAUCAACAAUAUUUCAGACCGAUGACACGUUACAAGGUUUGAAAUGACAAUGAAAGAAGCGCAUACACAAACACAAACAUGUGUUGCCAUAAAUCAAAGAAAUGGAUCUUAAGAAAAAAAAAAACAGAACUGAAAAUGAAAAAAAAUGAUAUGAAACAAAAUUAGUAUAACACGCUAAUGAGUCCUGUCAAUUGUCAUAUCAGACGAAUAGUUUGGUUUUGUGUGGACUUUAUUUUGCACAAUGAGAAAAUUCAAAGUCGUCUUUUUUAGGGGAAAAACUGGGAAACAUCUUCUCAACUUGGAAUAUUGCACCUGCAAGUGGUUAACGUAAAAUGAGUGUUUGAAAUUUGAAACUUGAAGCAUCCUUGGGGUCGUUUUUCAACCACCUCCUCCCAUUUGGACAACUUUGAGUUUCUUUUUGGUUUUUUUUUCUUCCUCAAUCCAUUCUUCCCAACCCAAUAACUUCAGACAUGCAUUUCACUAUAUAUAGAGGGAAGCUCUACACUCCUGCGUCCCUUAAUACAUCAUAUUAAGGGGUAAUACUAUGGAGAUGGAUUUAAUUAGUCUAGGACAAAUUUAUGGACAAAAUUUCUGUCAUGGUGGAGUGUCUUUUAGUGUGUUCCAAACUCAGUUGAUGAGUUGUUGUUUCAAUGGCCAAUAAUGAUCAAUGGCAAGUUUAAGAGAAAGUCAUGGCAACUACUCUCAUAUAGUAUUGCUUGGAGUAUCUGAUUAACCAUAAAUAAUUUUGUUUUCAAUAAUAUACAACUAGAUCUGGAUCAGUCAUGCUUCUCUUUAACCCUCCACUGGUUGUCUGCAUGGUGAAGAGCAUUUCAGUAAUGAUCUUUAAAUAGGUGCAGAUAGCAUUCCUAUAUAGACAAAUUAAUAGCAAAAGACAGAUGAUUGUUAGUGUCGUGAUAUUGGAAUAACUUUUACAGACUUUUUCCUUAGGAUUAUACUUUUCUAUGUUUUCUUUCUAUUAAUGAUAUUAUUUUGUAAAAACUAUUAUUUUUUUUUUCCUUGGCCAUUUUCUAAAUGGCUAACAUGAUAUUAAUUAUACAAUUGAUUAUUAUAUAUAAAAAAAUUAUUCUAGUAAACAAUCAUGUGCUCUUGUAAAUAAAUUUUUUGAAUGGCCACCAAAGAGUUAUUGGUGUGUUUGGGAACGUGUUGCAAACCACUUUCCAAAAAAUUUUAAUUUUUUUUAUAUUUUAAGAUUAUUUUGACAUACUGAUUUCAAAAAUAAUAAAAUUUUAUUUUGAUGCAUUUUACCGUUACCACAAUUCUAAAUAAACUAAUAUUCUCAUAAAGUAACUUCAAAUUUCUUAUGCCAGGUAAAAUAUUAUCCUAGUUAUUGUGUGUCAAAAUAUUAAUUCAAUUCAAGAAUUUACAUGUUUUAACCCAAAAAUUUAAACUUUCACUUAAAUAAAAAUAAAGGAUCUAAGAAUGGUUAUAUAGUAAACCGCUAACAUUGAGAUGUGUUCCCUAUCACAAUUGAAGCCAGCUCAAACACAUUUAUUACUCUUGCUAGUGUAUGCGGUGCCAAUAAUGGUUGCACGUUAUAGAGUACUAGGGGCUGGAUAAUUUCUAUUUUUUAGGCUGAUUUUCAUUUGCUUUGGUUCUUUUUAUGGUAAAAUUCGGCUCUCCUCUUUCGUGGCCUAUGCUGCUUAUUUGUGGUCGGAAGUUAGGGACUUGAUUUUGGUGAUGAACACGUUGCAAAUUUGCAAGCAGGUUAUAAAGGUCGCAGAGAACAAGAUGGGAAAAAUGCAACAUAUACUUGGAGUAAAUUGAUUUGUACAUAUUGUGUUUGAUAUGUAGAUUUAAGGCAUUUUGAUUUUACAAAAUUCAGAAAUCAUUGGUAACAUAUACUUCUUUUUAAGUACUUACCUAUGAAAGUUGAAUUUUCCGAGACACUUUAAUGGGGGGGGGGGGUAUUUAAUGGAUAAAUUAAAAAUGAAAUAAAUAUUCAUAAUUCACUAAUCACAGAAUUAUGUUGUCAAAUUUAAUGAUUUGUAUUAGUUAGUCCAUGAUAUUUGAUGGUGAACUAGGUUAGAAUUAAAUUUUAAGAAUAGUUCUAGUGUUAAAAGAAGUUCACUCUCUCCUUAACCUUUUUUAGUAUGAGCAAAGAGUCGAUAUCUAAAGAAAUUUAUUCUUCUAAAUACACUAUGUUAAUUUUUUUUCUAAGCUAGUAGAGUAAAUAAGACUUCAGAAGCACCUUUAACAAUGUUGUUACCCCCUUUUUAAUUAGGGCCCCACAUAAACAAAAUUAAUAUUGUCAUAGUUGUAUCUACUAUCUACACCUCAACUUGUAAAAAGUGAAAAAUAAAUAAACAUUACUAUAAAAUUAUCUAUUCAAAUUUUAAUAAUGUUCUCCCUCAAUUACUAAAACAACCCAUAAGUUACUAGCUAGUUAUAUAUAUAUAUAUAUGAGUGAAGAAACUUUAGUAAGAGAAUCACACUGACAAAAGAAAGCAAGGUGAAGAACGAGUAGAAAUACCAACAGCUAGGGAAAAUAACAAGCCACAAAAACAAGAAACAUUACCAAACUACGUAACCAAAACCAGAAAUGCUUAACAUGCCUCAAACCAUGGAUAAAAAAGCGACACGCUAUGUAGCCAUGCCUUCGAAGCUACUAUAUCAUUUGAUAAGAUCAAACCACUCCCUCUCCUCCCGCAUCAAAUCAUGGAGCACUAGGUAUCGGCCCGGGUACACCGCUUGUGCAACGCUCAUAAUCGCAUUCAAGUACUGUUGGAGACCUCGCAAUCACAAUUAGGUUGGAACAUGAUAAAAGAACAAUGAUAACAAGGAGUAUUAUUAUCAUGUAUCGGUUAUUUCCUCGAGACCCCAUUUAUGAAAUGAAAAAGAAAAAGCUGGAACUUCUUUAGGGAAUGUAUAUAAAAAACUUGGUAUGUGAGUAGAGAGCUAGCUAGUUUGCAAGAGUAGUGGUAAAGAUGGUGAGGGUAGCUAGGUGGUGUGAUAUAUACACACACACAUACAAAAAAAAUGAAAUAUGUCCCUUCAUUUUCAUGGAUUCACAUCAUUGCGGGGUCUAGCUUACUUUUCCACCAUAGGUUUGCUC
rnacentral:lncRNA from 1 species